UACGUAGGGUGCGAGCGUUAAUCGGAAUUACUGGGCGUAAAGGGUGCGCAGGCGGUUUUAUAAGACAGAUGUGAAAUCCCCGGGCUCAACCUGGGAACUGCGUUUGUGACUGUAUGACUAGAGUACGGUAGAGAGGGGUGGAAUUCCUGGUGUAGCAGUGAAAUGCGUAGAUAUCAGGAGGAACAUCGAUGGCGAAGGCAGCCCCUUGGACCUGUACUGACGCUCAUGCACGAAAGCGUGGGGAGCAAACAGG
rnacentral:rRNA from 1 species